AAUAAUACAUUCAUAAUAACCAUCUUAUCAAUAAUAGCACAUAUAUACAUAUCCUUAGGUCCAGUCAUCCUCGUGACGACUAGAACCUCAUGAGUGGAGGCUGGCCCUCGUGGCUCAUACACUCCCAUGCAUCCCGGGCUCGUCAGCCUUUCUUGACCAGCAUGUAACCCGUCGGCCCAUCACUGUCCACAUUACUAGGGAGACCACGGCCUAUAGCUCGAUUCUCCCCAGUCAUACAUACAUU